rnacentral:rRNA from 1 species
GUAGGGAAUAUUGCACAAUGGAGGAAACUCUGAUGCAGCGACGCCGCGUGAGUGAUGAAGGCCUUCGGGUCGUAAAGCUCUGUCGCAGGGGAAUAACACAAUGAAGGUACCCUGUAAGAAAGGAUCGGCUAACUUCGUGCCAGCAGCCGCGGUAAGACGAGGGAUCCUAGCGUUGUUCGGAAUCAUUGGGCGUAAAGCGGAUGUAGGUGGCUAUGUAAGUCAGGUGUGAAAGCCUGGGGCUCAACCCCAGAAGUGCAUUUGAUACUGCGUAGCUUGAGUGUCGGAGAGGUUACUAGAAUUGUUGGUGUAGUGGUGAAAUACGUAGAUAUCAACAGGAAUACCGGAGGCGAAGGCGGGUAACUGGCCGAACACUGACACUGAGAUCCGAAAGCGUGGGGAGCAAACAGGAUUAGAAACCCUAGUAGUCC